ensembl:snRNA Gm23122 predicted gene, 23122
GAAUGGCCUCAGACGCUCUCAUACUAAGUUUGGAACGACACGGACAUUAGCCUGGUACCUGCACAAGGAUGGAAUGCAGAUUCAUGAGGGGGUCCAUAUUAGG